CGGAGGGUGCGAGCGUUGUCCGGUAUCACUGGGCGUAAAGGGCGCGUAGGCGGUGCGGUAAGCGUGCGGUGAAAGCUCGGGGCUCAACCCCGCGUCGGCCGUGCGAACUGCUGGACUGGAGCAUGUCAGAGGCGGGUGGAAUUCCGGGUGUAGCGGUGGAAUGCGUAGAGAUCCGGAAGAACACCGGUGGCGAAGGCGGCCCGCUGGGACAUAGCUGACGCUGAGGCGCGACAGCGUGGGGAGCAAACAGGAUUAGAUACCCUGGUAGUCCACGCCGUAAACGAUGGGUACUAGGUGCUUGGGGGAGCGACCCCCUGGGUGCCGGCGCUAACGCAUUAAGUACCCCGCCUGGGGAGUACGACCGCAAGGUUG
rnacentral:rRNA from 1 species